AGCGAACGCUGGCGGCAGGCUUAACACAUGCAAGUCGAGCGGGCGUAGCAAUACGUCAGCGGCAGACGGGUGAGUAACGCGUGGGAACGUACCUUUUGGUUCGGAACAACACAGGGAAACUUGUGCUAAUACCGGAUAAGCCCUUACGGGGCAAGAUUUAUCGCCGAAAGAUCGGCCCGCGUCUGAUUAGCUAGUUGGUAGGGUAAUGGCCUACCAAGGCGACGAUCAGUAGCUGGUCUGAGAGGAUGAUCAGCCACAUUGGGGCUGAGACACGGCCCAAACUCCUACGGGAGGCAGCAGUGGGGAAUAUUGGACAGUGGGGGCAACCCUGAUCCAGCCAUGCCGCGUGAGUGAUGAAGGCCCUAGGGUUGUAAAGCUCUUUUGUGCGGGAAGAUAAUGACGGUACCGCAAGAAUAAGCCCCGGCUAACUUCGUGCCAGCCGCCGCAGUAA
rnacentral:rRNA from 1 species